GGACAACAUAAAUAGGGGCCCAACAUCGGUAGCAAUAAUUGAGAUGGGCCUGGCUCUGAUACCAUAAUAAGAAUGGACAUUGGGCCUAACUCAACUCCAAAAGCUAGCUUAUGAGGUGAGAAUUGCCCAAGCCACAUAAGGAGCUCAAGGACCUCAAAUACCUCCGAUGUGGGACAACUCAACACAAAUAUGUAAAAGCCUUUUGAAAAUUGAAUUUAACUCCCCAGAUGUAUUUUCCUUUUUCCUUCUUUUUUUUUUGUG
rnacentral:lncRNA from 1 species